UUGUGCUGCCAAAGACCCAUCUCACCUC
rnacentral:piRNA from 1 species